rnacentral:misc_RNA from 1 species
GGGAAGUGCAAGGGGUUACCUUUAGCUGUGAAGACGUUGGCAGGUCUAUUGCGCUCUAAAUCAACUAUUGAAGAGUGGGAACGUCUUCUGCAAAGUGAAAUAUGGGAGCUACCAAGUGACAUAUUACCAGUGCUCAAACUAAGCUAUAAUGACCUUUCUCAGGUGCUAAAGCGUUGCUUUGCUUAUUGUGCACUAUUUCCUAAAGAUCACCCCUUUGGUCGUGACGAGGUUGUUCAACUAUGGAUCGCUAAUGGCCU